UUUAAGAGUUUGAUCCUAGCUCAGGAUGAACGCUGGCGGCGUGGAUAAGGCAUGCAAGUCAAACGGGUGCAUCUCACAAAGGUUCGAUGCAGUUAAAAGUUCAUAAAGUUCAUAAAGUUCAUAAAGUAGAUUCAGAGUGCAAAUGCAUUAAGAGUUCACAUUAAAAACUUUAUAGACUUUCAACUUUAUAACUCGCACCGAGGUUCUGCGAGGUGCAUCAGUGGCGAACGAGGUAGUAACACGUGGGUUACAUCCCCCAAAGUCAGGAAUAACUAAUCGAAAGAUUAGCUAAUACUUGAUAAUCUCUUCGGAGUAAAGAUUUAUCGCUUUGGGAAUGGCCUGCGGAGUAUCAGCUCGCGUGAUGGAUGAAGUCCCUAGGGACGUAAACAUCUUUUAUGAGGGAGAAAGUUUAUUGAUAGUACCUCACGAAUAAGGGGUUGCUAAACUCGUGCCAGCAGCAGCGGUAAUACGAGUGCCCCGAGCGUUAUCCAGAAUUAUUGGGCGUAAAGGGUGUGUAGGUGGCAGUGUUAGUCAAACGUUAAAGCCCGGAGCUUAACUCCGGAAGUGCGUUUGAAACGGCACAGCUAGAGGAUGCGAGGGAUGAAUGGAACUCAUGGAGUAGGGGUGAAAUCCGUUGAUAUCAUGGGGAACACCAAAAGCGAAGGCAGUUCAUUGGCGCACUCCUGACACUGAAACACGAAAGCGUGGGUAGCGAAUGGGAUUAGAUACCCCAGUAGUCCACGCCCUAAACGAUGACAACUAGCUUUUCGGAGUAUCGACCCUCUGAGAGGCGAAGCUAACGCGUUAAGUUGUCCGCCUGGGUAGUACGACCGCAAGGUUAAAACUCAAAGGAAUAGACGGGGACUUGCACAAGCAGAGGAUUAUGUGGUUUAAUUCGAUGAUAAACGAAAAACCUUACCAAGGUUUGAAACCUAACUGAAUAGAAGCAGAAACGUUUCUAGUCUCACAAGGACAGUUAGGCAGGUGAUGCAUGGCCGUCGUCAGUUCGUGAUUUGAAUUGUUCCCUUAAGUGGGGUAACGAACGCAACCCUCGUUGUCUGUUAUACGUAUCAGGCGAGACUGCCCAGCUUUUUGCUCGGAAGCAAAAAGCCAGUUAAAAGUUCAUAAAGUUAUAGAGUUCAUAAAGUAAAAUGCAUUUGCAUCUACUUUAAAAACUUUACAAACUUUCAACUUUAAAAACUUACUUUUUGAGCUUGCGCUCAAAAAGCUGGGAGGAAGGCGAGGAUGACGCCAGGUCAGCAUGUCCCUUUGAUACCUUGGGCUACACACAUAAUACAAUGGCGACCACAACGCGUUGCGACGGGGUAACCCUGAGCUAAUCGUAAUAAAAGUCGCCCCAGUUCAGAUUGGCACGGUAAAUUCGGUAACAGGGAGUAAGUCGUAACAAGGCACGGCUAGCGGAAGCUGGUCGUGGAAUAA
rnacentral:rRNA from 2 species